GGCUGGUCCGAUGGCAGUGGGUUAUCAGAACUUAUUAACAUUAGUGUCACUAAAGUUGGUAUACCACCCCCCCCCACUGCUAAAUUUGACUGGCUUAAA
ensembl:misc_RNA Y_RNA Y RNA